GUUGAUAAUGUAUUACUAAUAAAAUAAUGAUUAUAAUCUUUGCACGUGUACAACACCGGACACUUAGUCGAGGGGUUGAGUCUAUGGGCCCCCCCCCCGACCUCGAAAUUUAAGCUUCUCACCAAGAAGUCAGAUUAUUGAUGAUAAAUUGUAUGUUUGGACCCCGACCCCCCUCCAUAAAAAAAGCCUGGAUACGUGCCUAUACAACACUACUCAAUUAAAAGUAUACAUAUUAUUAUUAUAUGAUGGAC